GUCGCGUGUCGGGGUGUGCGAGGCGAGCGAGAACGGCGCAAGCAUCUCGAAUUUAUCCCAGAAUAUCCCUCUGGAAUAUUAUCUUCAUUGGACGAAUCUACUUCCCGAUAACACCACCAUUUGUUAGAGAGGGACCCAAAUACAUCGAUCAAUUUGCUUUCUCUCUUAUCUCUCGCUCCUCCCCUCCUGUAACUCCUCUCUCUCUCUCUCUCUCUCUCUUUCUCUCUCUCUCUCUCUCCAAAUCCAUUUACAUUUCCUCUCCACAAACGAAUUAUUCAUUCAUUCAUCUACUUGCAAGCUCACCUAAUUGUUCAUCUCGAAGGUGCGGGAGAACUUGGGGAGGUAAGUAAUAGAUCUUUUCAUCUUUUCUUUUAUACUAUUUUGUUGCCGUUAUUUUUGAGCUUCUUAGUUAAUUUUAAUGCUGGUUCUCCCUGCUGAUGCUGUUGUAAGGAAAAUUUCGUUGAUUAUGAUAAUUGUAUGAACAAAGUUGUUUGGCACGGGAGCAAGUCUCCAUUGGAGGCUUGAUUUAUAGAUAUUGCAUUCAGUUCAAGUGGUGGCACGGAGAUUGGCCCUUCAUUGUCUUGGUUUGACUUUUUCAAAUUAAUAAGUUUUGUCCUCGUCUAAUCAAAUAUUAAAUUCAACCCAUCAACCUUGUUGAUCAAUGAUAACAAAACUUGCUUUGUCCUUAAAUUCGAUGCCCAUAAUUUGUUAUCAGUUGUACCGUAGCAUAAUUGGUUGCAUUUAUGUGGGCGCACGGCACGUCUGCGGGACAAAAAUUUCCUGGGCACCGUGCCCAAACAAUUUGUUUGGGCACGGUGCCCGGAUGGGCGCCGCGUGUGCAGUGGGGCCAAUCCGCACCCUCCCUUCCCCCUCUCUUUUUCUCUCUUCCUAAAAACCGAGCCCACCAUUUUUAUUAUUUUUUUUUGAGGGUGCCGAUGGGCGCCGCUACACACGCGGCGCCCAUCCGGCACCGUCCCCAAACAAAUUUUGUUUGGGCACGGUGCCCAGAAAAUUUUUGUCCACGUCUGCGUGUCUGAUAGCAGAAUUUUUAUUACCAUUGGGUUGUAAUAUGACCGCAACCUCUAUCAGUAUUCUGAUACUCGAUCCAAACUGUAGCCAAUUAUCACAAAAUACGAAGUAUAGCAAUCCAAAUGUAUGUUGUUUGUGAACUUCGAUAAUCUAAGGAAAAUCAAGGGUAUCUCAGUACGUUUAACAAGUGUAGAAAUAACAUUUCACAGAGAUUCUCUCCGUGGCGACUGCCCUUAGGUCCUCUUAAAUGUUAUUGAUAAAUUGACAUUCCUAUGUAUUAGCAUGUUAGCAGCUUAAUUUUUAGACCUGUGAAGUAAUUCAUGAAUAUUUACUUCUCAGCAGUACUUGAGAAAAGCACUAGGCUAUGCAAAAGCAUUACCGGGUAGCAUUUGCGGUCCAUAUGAUGUUUUCCGACUUCCCAAAGGUUACAUUCUCCAUUAGAACGAGUUAUUCAGUAAUGACUUACACAGCAUAUAAAUUUUUUUUAGUAUUACAAAGUGAUGUGCGGAAUGAAAUAUUUCCAAAUCCAAACAAGCUCGAAGUAUCAAUAGCUUUUGGAAGUCAAUCAUUACUACAAAUUAGCAAUCUAGAUGCGUUGUGACCUUUUCCAGUUUCUGGCUUUUAACGCUCAACAAUAUUCUGUAAUAGACCAGAUAUUAUAAUUACACAGCUUACAUAUAUAAUUCAUCUUUUUUUUUUUUGUUUUGUUUUGUUUUGGUAGGCAUCUAUACGGCAACAGCAUACUAGGAAAAUCGGAACAUAUGAUAGGAAUCAUUUUGCUUCCAUGACAAGAUAAUAACUGAGCUUGAAUCAUCCAUGAUACAUAAACUGUUUUAAUGACAUUUCUCACUAUAGAAAAGAAUCGAAGAAUGUAUAAAGAAUGUUACAAACAACAAAAAGGAAAAACAGAAGUUUCACAUGAACCAUAUCAUUGAUAUGUCCUUAUUAGAGUACAUACAAUUGCUGUCUCGGACAGCCUUUUGUCCGGAGAAAAGCUUAAUCCAAUCAGCCUUUCUGUGCUUUGUAUUCUUCGGAAGAAAAAAAAAAAUCUCUAUCGCGAAGAAAAGUAUCGGAGGUCUUGCAUGUCAUGAUGUUGCGGAGAUAUGUUUGUCACAUAAAAGUUCUGCUGCAAAAGCCAAUUAAUCAAUUUAGUAUGAGAUAAAUCCUUAUGUUGUUUUCUCUCUACAUAAAUACAUAAUGAUUGCUUGCUUUUAUAUCAGACUAUUUACCUUGUGAUUCAAUGGCCGCAACUCUGACCGGCUUCAUGAUUCUCAUCACAUUCCUCAUAUGCUCGAAACCCAUGACAAAUAUCCCUAUGAAGUAAAGAAAGCUUAGUUGCAGCUUUCCUAGCAAGUUAUAAACAGUUACAAGACCAAUUGCUCCUUCAUUGUUCCUAAUGCUCAGGGAUAUUGGCAUCCCCAAAAUGAGCCACCCUGGUUAACAUAAUUGGUCAAUAUAACCAUGUCUAGCAAUUUUAAAUUGCAUAAAACAUAAACAGAAUACACACUGAAUAUACAUUGGCAUUUGCAACUACUGUUGUCUUGCUUACCAGAUUCUCUCUCCGGCAAACAUGCCCAUUCUUGCUCCUUAAGCUUAGCCUUUGACGCCCUUAUCAAAUCCAAAAGAGCUAAAUUUACCUGCAGAACAGCAUAAAUCGUAUAGGAUUAUUAAGGAGCUAACUACCCAAUCAAAUUAUAUAGUUGUAACCACUGCUCUAUUUCUUUGACUUCCAGCGUUACAAGUUAGAUCUCUCCAUGAGAUAAACUCGUUGGAGCUAACAAAAACUCUAAUCUGUGCUGCUCAAUCCUGGCCGCAUGUGAAUGAUUUCUCACCUCAUCAGGCCUUUCAUGGCUCACUAAAUGACCGCCAUGAAGCUCUACCAUUCUUGCUGCUGGGUACAGUCUCUCUGCAAGUCUCCUAGCAUGGUAUAGUUGAGCAAUGAUAUCAUACCUAACAGAUUUGAGAUCAAUAAUUAAGUCAUUGCCCUUGGAAUGGUGUAUGCCAGGAGGAGUGGGAGAAUCGUAGUAUAUAAAUCGACAUUAGUCACCAACCUUCCAUGAAUGACUGAAACUGGGAAUCCAGAUGAGCGAAUCGUGUCAAGUUCUUUAGCUGUCAUCUUGUGUGUCCAGCAUGCAUUGACUUGGCCUUCGAAACCAUAGUUAGAUUGCAUUCCCGUUGAUGAUAUUGCCUUUACGUAUUGCUGAAGUUAGAGAAAUUAAGUUAGCAUCUUUCAAGUUACUGGCGAAAUAACAAAAGAAUAUGAACAUACAUCAAUAUUGCAUAGUCGACCCAAAAAAAACUGGCGCUAUCAUUAUUUCAUUGAGCGAGAGACAUGAAACAUCUAACUUGUUAUUCUGUAAGAGAUAAUCAGACAACUUGGCUGACUAUUCACAUUCGGCAUGAGCUUAACUACAAAGUAUGUAGGACUCUAAUGCACCUUCAGAAGAAAUGCGACAAAAGUGAAGAUGAAUGAAGCCCUAAUAACAUUCACAUAAUUUGGGAGUACUGAUAUUAAUAGCUCUAUUUACACCAAAAAAGAUACUACUUUUUGCGUUUCUAGCACACUUGUAAUGAGAAAAUGCACAUUAUUAACUACAGAACCACAACAAUAGCGGACGGCUGAAUCUUACUUGAUAAAGAAUACUUCUUCUUGUACAUGAUCCUACAUAUUCAUCAAGAUAUUCCUGCAAAAAUAGCGUCUUGAGUCAAAAUAUUGGCAAUUGAAUUCUUCUAAAAAUUAGCCACAAGAUAAAAUGAUGGCUGAACUAAAUUUAACGUGUUCUGUAUCACACAAAACAAUUACAUAGACCAUUGGAGAUCUCUAACCUUUGUGUAGUGGGUUUCCAAGUCAACAACAGCUCUUUCUUCUGGAGUUUUCGCCCUUAAGAAACGAAAUGCGAGAGACAUCAUUUGGCGGUCAAUCUGCAACAACGACGGUAUGCGGUAAAGAUGGAGGAUUUAGUGGAACAGUUACCAUGGUGAAACAAGAAUCUUUUGGAUCUCAUUAUACAAACAUUUUAUGAGAAGUGGUUUUCUCGCGACCUCGACAUUCUAUUUAAACUAGUCAUACUGUUUUCCAAGUCGACAUCUUUCAGGAGACGUCUAGUUUGAGAGUACCUCUAAUGGGGCCACAAAUGAAUCUUAGGCAUUACUGCAUGACAGAAAGAUAUCAUGAUGUAGUUUAUGGAUGAAAUUGAACUCUCCAUUUAAAUAAGUGGGGCUCUGCAAGCACCAUGUCCCUGUCAACUAUUAGGUGAGUCAAUUCUGGCAAGAAGUUGCUAGAAUAGACUAAUAAGAUGAUAGAUAUUGUGGCUCUGGUAAGUGGUUCAUAUACUAACAAAAAAGUUCAACCUCAAAAACUUGUCAUCUCCAUCUUUCAAUAGAACAAAGUGUAAUUGAGAUUGAUAUUCAUGCAGGAUAACAUAUUGAUGUUACUCAAUUUUGUACUGUAUACUCUCAAGAGUUAUCCUUUCACAUGCCGAUACAACUUUAACCAAAAUGGAAUUUUAAGUGUGGCCAGCAAUGUGCUAAAAAUAAACAAAAUUCGAUGCCCGAGUCGAUGAACAAGAACCCCUCAAAAGAAAACGCACCUCAUAAUGUCAGCAACUGCAAAUAAUAACAAAGUUUUGUUUUGUUUUUUUUUUUUUUGAAAAUAAAAAAGGAGGAAGCAGAAGCAUUUAUGCGAUUACCUUGGGAAAGCACUCGAAGCCACCUCCUGUUACAUUCAGCAACGCCAAGGAGCACAACCUAUCAGGCGCCAUUGCUGCUAAUUUGCAAGCGAUCAUCGCACCUGUCUCCAACCAGCAAUCAUAUUUUACACUUGGUGUGAAUUUCUCUCCCGUAAAACUUAUUGAAAUCAUGAGGACUAAUUUCAAAUAAUGAAAUUGUAUGUCGAAGAUAUAUAUUUCUAUCGUCAAAACAACAAGUGUACCAGGAAAUGUGGAAAAGAAACCCCCAAAAGGUUGAAGGGAAGGGGAGGGUGAGCUAGAGACAAAAAAAAAAAAAAAAAAAAAAAAAAAAAAAAAAAGAGGGCC
rnacentral:lncRNA from 1 species